AUACGAAGUGUCAAAAGCAAAUGUAAAAAAAUCCAUUACAAACUAUUUGCGGCACUUUCGUGAAAUUCGCAGAAUUUAAAUUUUUAUAUAAAACUGCUAACCAAAAUCAAGUGAGUGCCUUAGUAAAUAAAAGACAGUGAAAGCGGUGUACGCUAUGUUAACGAAAACAAAUGAUGUUGCUAAGCUGAGAAGUGUUCUGCUAGGAUGUGGGAGAAGCCUCUAAUAAAAACUAAUGUAAAACUUGUUGCUAUUUAAAAAAUGCAAAACGCAAUAAAUAUUUUGUUGCUGAGCAUUAUGGUCAAUGUGUAUUGCGACAUAAUGCAGUGUUUAAAGAGAAUAUUAGCAAUUACCUUAAUUGGAAAUUCAGUUGUGGCUGAAUACUGUCAUUGCGUUGUUAUUUAUAUGAUGAGGCAAGUAGUUGGGGAAAUAAUUCAACGCGCCACCAAAAGUACAGGAUAAAAUGUAAUACUUGAAGCGAAAACAGUCAUUAUUGAAGGUUUAGCAGAUGCUAUAUGACGAUAGAUGCCUGUAUUUGUCUGUCCUAGAAGAAACGAUUAUCACUGUAGUAUGAGAUAUUUCAUUGUAUAGUAACUUAAAUUAGUUACGGGCCCAUUUUGAAUCAGCAAGUUAUUAUUUCUAUAAUAAAGCAGACUAUAUCUUUAAUGGCAUACAUUAAAAUCGAAUUGGAAAAAAAUUUGAUAAUGUGAUUGCGAGUGUUGAGCAGUAUCAGAUUGGAUGCGCCUUAUUUCUUUCCUUCAUAGAAGGAGGAUGCCAUCACAUAAAGUCUAUAUAUGAUUAGUAAGCUUGCACAUAUGAAGGGAAAAUUAAUAUCUAAGUAUAGACGUAUAUGCUCGAUGUACCAAAUCAGAUUCGCCCUUUAAAUUGUUAACAUUUUAUCAGUUUAACUAAGGAGACAAUUAUACUCACUUCAACAGAAAGCAGUGUAUCAGAGUAACAAUUGACAACGUUUCAAAAAGCAAGGAAUAUAAGUGUCAGUCAUGACUUAUAUAUCUAAAACUUCAAAAAUUUUACUUAUGCAACUUCUCUGUUGACAUUGUGGCCUUGAUUAUUUAUUGUGAUGUUAACGCUUAAUUUUUAUUUCAUUCAAAUUCGAUUGAAUGUGAACAUUUAUGUGUUCCUGCCUUAAUACAAAUAUUUAUAACACUUCAAAGAAACACCUCAGAUUUACAAAUAUAAAACAUCAUUCUGACCAGCAAUACAGAUAUCCAGUGUCGCAGUCAAAUUUAUGCUUAUCAUUUAAAGGUUUAGUGUUAAGCAAAGUAGUGAGAAGCAGUAAUUCAACUAUAGGGUGGUGAGACCUUUAUAGGAUUGAGUUACAUUUGUCAGGAAUCAAAUAAGUUCGAAACGAAAAAACACCAUUGGCUGUGUAAAGCUCCUUUCAAAUGCUUAACUCAACAUGUAUUUUCCAUCUAUUUUAAAACAUUAAACAUCAUUCAACACAAUUUUACAACAACUACAACAAUUAUGAGGUAAACACUUAAAUAUUGAAGUAUAUAAUAAAAUCAUUAGACAAGUAAAUAAAAGUUAAAGAUUGAAGAAGAACUAAUCAGAUAAAA